UGUACUUUCUCUAAUCAUCAUUAUUAAUUCAAUCUGUUAUCAGUCUUCUCUUCUACUGAACUGACUCCAUGUUUCUCUCUGUCUCUCUCACAGUGAUCUCUAAGAGGAGGAAGACUUCAGCUGAGCCUGUCUAUGAGGAGAUUGACACCAGGCUCAUCCCUAAAAUAAUUACUGUCUCAACUAAAAGUGAAGCAGAUAAUGAGGAAAUGCAGUUGAGUUAUGAUGUCAUUUUUGCUGGACAUACACCUGACAGUGCAGCAGAGGAAGAACCAGAUAAUUACGAUGAUGUUAUUGUGGAACAAAACUCAAACAUUGUGAUAGAAAACAUGUUGGAGAUCUACGAUGAUGUCAUGCAGGUUACUGCUGGACACAUCACAGCAGGUUUGUUUCUUAUAUUGUUUCAAUAAAUAAUAAUAAUAAUAAUAAUAAUAGUACAUACAAACUUUAAAAUAUAAUAAUAUAUAAUUACUCUAUUUUUAAAUUUUAGAUUAUGAUGAUGUGGAGAGUCCUUAAAAAGAGUGAAGCAGAUGGAAGUGGAGACAAAACCAAUGUGAUUUUUCAGGAAGUCACAUUUGUGCAAAGUUAAUUAUAAAAUACUAUUCUAUCAUAUUUUUUUAAUUUCUUAUUUUUUCUUGCUUCAUUUUGUACUUACUUUUAACAUUAUAUUUAGUGUCUUUUUUUCCAUGUUUUUUUUAUAUGGAUCUGAUACACAGUUUAGAAGACCUUCUGUCUAAACUCAAUUUGCAAGACUUUGCGAAUUGUGCUCUAUAAUUAAAAUGAAGAGAAACUAAUAUUUUACUUCCACUGAUACUUUUCUUUUACUGACCUCAGCAUUUCAGCAAGAAAUUUAUCCAAAGGUAGCCAUUACAAGAUCUCGUUCAUUUUUGUCAGUUAUACACAGAAUAACUAUGGGUAUUAUUGCAGCAAUAACCACAAUAAUGUGCAUUUUUAAUUUAUUUACAUCAGUUACGAGGUGUGUCAGAGACACUGUCUUUUAUCUCAUAGAACUAAAACAUUUUGUCUUGCUCAUUUCUGCCACUGUUUCCUUAAACUCCUGCAAAGGAAAGGUGUGGUUAAUAGUAUAUGUAGUACGCCAUGUUAGUCCUGAUGAUAAACAUCUAUUAGGCAGUUAAACCUGAAAUGUUCGCUUUCAGUGUAGAAAACCACAGAGCAGCAGGUGUUCAUGUGGCAUCGGUGGAUCUGAGAGGGGCCCCGACACUUACCUAACAGCAAGAUAAGGCUGUGUAGAAAAUCCUGAACACUCCUUCUUGCUAACAUCACGUUUGUUUUAUCUAGAUUACAAAAUAAUGUAGUAAAUAUAAAAGUGAAGCUAAAUAGUAGUAAAAUAUCCUAAUAAUCCUCCAGAGGAAAAAGCUUUCUUCUGCAUAUCAAAUGGAAAACAUAUAG
rnacentral:lncRNA from 1 species